UUAUCUACUACCUCCGUCCUGGUUUAUAAGUUCCCUUCAUAUUUUGUGCCAAAUUUUGGCUAAAAUUUUAACUAACAAAAUGUUAAUGCAUGUCAUAAAAAAUUACAUCGUUUCAUUCGUAUUUGAACAUAGCUUUCAGUUAUAUUAUAUUUUUUGACAUGCACUAAUAUUUUGUUAGUUAAAUUUAAGAUCAAAAUUUGGCACAGAAUACUAAAGAGACUAAUAAACCAGGAAAAUUCGUUUCUGAUCAUGAGCACAGCUGAGCCCUCAUCGGCCCGCUGUUCUCGGGAUCCUAGUGUUUACCCGUAUUCUGGACAGUAGAAUGCUGCGUAUUGUAGAUGUAUUCUAAAAUGGGCCUGCCUCAUUUAUUAUGCUAACCAGAAUCCCUGCGGCACCGUACAGGAGGAGGUCGGAUGGAUCAGCCAUUUUUCUGGGCCUACCUGAGCCGUCUCGGAUUGACGUCCUCCCUGCCUCGGCCUCACAAGCUUGCUUGCCAGCAGCUUACAAAUUUGAAUACAUUUGACGCAUAUGAGCGAUACAGUGGUCGACAAAACGCAGGCACGUGUCAUGGAGUAGCUGACUGUAGAUGCACACCGCCAGCAACAAACUAGCACCCACAAACGAGUUUUAGUCACGCUCAGGGGCAGCAUCGAAGCCAAUUUCAGUGAUGCACAGGGACAGCACCCAGGCCAGUUUACAGUCAAGUUCAGUGACAAUUUGAAAAACUAUUUGUCAUCCGGACAUCAGCAGGUGCAAAUUGGAAAAUUCACAUUUGUAUCAAACAACUUAAAAGGUACAGAAAACAAAUAAACAAAUAUUAUAAAUCCACACAUUUCAGCAUAGUUACAAAUACAACUAGUUUACACUCAGGGAGGAACACGCGUGGGGGUCCAUAUAGAAAUCACACACUAGAAAAUUCUCAAAACGUAAAAUUCGAGUUAUCAUACAUGUUUCUCUAAGUUAUUAAGAAGCAGCAGCGCCCAGCGGCCUGGUGCAUGAAGUGCGACGGUGUCCAGCGAUGCCACAAUUCUUGCAGGUUGCAGGUUUGCGAGGCUGUUUUGGCAUGUCACCCUUGUCAGGGCAGGUAGUGUUCUCAUGUCAUGGCAAUUUGCAAAUGCUGCAGAACUUUGUCAUUGUACGUAGUCCUUCAUACGGUGCCUUCUUCCUACUGAUGCAUGGUCGCCUGGCACCACAUUUCUUGCUCGGAGCAGACAGUCCAGCAUGUGCAUCCCAGUUAGCAGGAAGGGUCAGAUUGUUCUUGUUGUCAGCCCCCCCCCCCCCUCUAAUGCUGACAAUUGCGCCUGCCAAUGCAAUGUUGUUGUGAUUCGCUUCUGCUGCUUGUCUAUCCUCAAACCCUAUCCCAUCUCUUGUUUCAGCUAGUGGUGAUACCUCCGCAAUCAUAUCCUUCAAGCGAACCAACACGAGUUCAUAUGUCGUGACGGAUGCAUCCCCAAGCCUAACCAGCUCCAUGGCGUGUAGGUAGAGAGUCGAGCUGCGGCAGGUGAAAGAUUUGUUCACGACCUGGUUUCUUUUGAAGUGAGCAAGAUGCUGGGGCAGGAUGUCCCUAGCAUAUUUCGUCCAUCUCUUGAGGAUGUGCCGCUUCCGCAUCUCCUUCAUGCCAACAUAGUCCAUCACCUGAAACAUUGGAAAUCAAAAUAUGGUUUUUCGUGGAUAGAUGAGGAAUGAACAAUAUUGAGAUCCAAAAAUACCUUCAAAGUAUGGCAACAAAGCAUCCCCAUGUGGGUGAAUUGCCCGCAUUCACACUCGAACCACUCGCCGUCAUCCAACAUGGUCACCUUGUAAUCAACCACGCUCCACUUCUCGCGUUUCUCGGCAUCGUUGUGUCUUGCAAUGUACUUCACAAUUUCCUCGACCUGGUACGCCCAGCCCUUUUGAAAAGGUUCUCACCAAAUUGUUCAAACAUUUUCCUGGUGUAAACCUUAUUUGCACAUGUUCAAUGGCAAUAUUUCCUCUCAUGAUUGCUCCGCUCUGUAUUUCUCACAAAAAACUCAUCAUUAGAAUUUUUCGACGACGUACACUGGCACAACAAUUAGGAAGAGGGCACAAAAAAAAUCUAAAAGAAAUUGCUUACAAUCCGUAUCCUCUUCUCCCGGUAGCUCUCAUCCGACUCACGGUCGAAUUAUAGCCUCAUGUACUGUCGCACAAACACAUGCAUCAGUAGUGACCUCUUUGUGAAAGGCAGAUUCUGAGAUGAACCGAGGAAGCUUCCUACUAUAUUGUGCAGAAAGGUUCUGGAGUGACCUCUUCGUGAAAGGCACAUUCAGAGAUGAACCAAAGAAGCUUCCUACUAUGUUGUACACCUUGUUGAGAUUCACGUUAUUUCCCCUAAGUUGCUUCACUAGAUCUUUUGUGUAGACAUCUAUGUGGUUGUGCAAUGGACAGUGAACCUUUUCACCACAAGUCAGUGACAAUGAAUGGUUAUGGCUAGCCUGGUGCUCAGCAAUGAACCAUCCAUUGUCAGAUCCUCUCAGAAGCCUAAUCAUCGCAGGGCAUUCGCACUGGCAGUACUGGCUGUUUUGCUGCUCAGGCUUCCCCUCUAAAACAGGAAUUUACCAGCUGCAGUUAAGACAGACGCAUAGCCAAUGAUCAAGCGGAUUAAAAUAAAAUGUAAAUUCUUGGAGUGUUGAGUCAUAUGUACUGACCAAGCAUCCACACACAAUUUCCUACAUACACUUUGUCUGCUCGACAUUUAGAUGGCUCUUGCCAUAUCUUAUACCAAAUUCGAGCUCCCACAAAUAAUUAAAGGUUGUAGAAAUCGUAUACUUCUCUGAGAGAGUCAAAAUUCAUUCCAAUUUCUGGCGUGACCACACUGUCUGAGGAUUUAUCAGCGUACCUCCUGAUUGUUUCUUCCAAUGGACUAACUCCCCCAGGGCAUGGUUAUCUGUCAGCAGGUGCACGUCCAACUCUCAACCUGCAAGGGAAAAAUAUCCCAAGUUUUGUAGACGACAUCUCAAUUUAUAGCAACACCUUUUUUUAAUCAUGGAAAACCCCCCAUUUUACUGAUCAGUGACACAACCCACCAGAGAACAGACCAUGCUUUCUGCGACAAACGGAUCAGCAUUGCAUUUUACAACUACUACCUCCAUACGAAAAUAUAAGAUGUUUUUGCAGUUCAACAUCUUAUAUACAGAGGGAUUACUUGGCAGGGCAUCCAAGGCACCCAAUUUCAUAUCAUAAUUUUCAUAUCACAAUUCUAGCAGGGCACCCAACUCCUUGAUUUUGUCUAAUGAUUUUUUUUACCUACAAAACAGACCAAUCUACCUGUGUCACACGGUUAACAUUUAAAACCUCACCAUGAAUUAACUAUAAAGUGACAUAAAUUAUUUUUUUGCCAAGACAUGGGGUUCUAAAGGGCUGCCAAUCGACCCUAGUGAGCACAAAUCCAGACAUCUCCUAAAAUGACACAGGCAUGUAAAUUGCAGAGUCAAUGUCACCUCCUAAUCCACCCAGGGGCCUCUGGGUUCACUUUCCCAGUGGAUUCCAUGGACUGUGUCGGAGACUCCUUCCUCUUGCCGCAUGUGUCACGUUGGUCAGCAGCGCCGCCAAGGUGCCCCACUACAACAGUUCACCAAAUCCUUCGUGUACACAUCUAUGUGCUUAUGCCAUAGCCAAUGAACUUUUUCACCACAGGUCAGAGAAAAUGAAUUGGUUGUGGCUGGAGUGGGAACUGGCUCCUCUAACUUCGCUCCUAUGAAGUUAGGGAAACAAUACCCUAACUUAGUCUGUGAACCAUCAGAUGGGAAAUAGAUGGCCAAGAUUCUGCACUGUUCACAUGGGGUGUAGCAUACUGUUUGGACGAGCACUGUAGCUAAAAUCAUUGUUUGUUACCUUACCAAUUGACACUGUUUAAGAACUGUAGCGAUAGAUCUCAGCCAUUUAUUCUAGAUCCAACGGAUGAAAUGUGGCUAAGUUAGGCUCCUAACUUCACAGUAGCUAAGUUAGAGGAGCCGGUUCCGCUGGAGUGGUACUCAGCAAUGUACCAUCCAUAGUUCGCAGCUCUGAGCAAUCUGAUCAUUGCAGGACACUCACACUGACAAGACCUGCUAUUCUGCUGUUCAGGUUUCCCCUGCAAAAUGAUUUUUCCCUCUGUGUCAGGUAUAUGAAAAUAAAUCCAGUCCAAGCAAUAUGUAAAAAAACUGCCAUUUUUUUUAUUUAUGGUAUUAAGUGCUAACCGAGCAUCCACAAACGAUCUCCUGCAUACACUUUGUCUGCUCAACAUUCAGACGGCUCUUUCCAUAUCUUAUACCAAAUCCAAGCUCCCAAGAAUACAGGUUAUAGAAAUCGUAUGCCUCCCCAAGUGAGUCAAAACUCAUCCCAAUCUCUGGCUUCACCACAUUCUCCAAGGGUUUAUCAGCAUACCUCCUGAUUGUUUCUUCUAAUGGAGUCGCUCUGCUUUGACAGGGUGCCCUAUCUGGAGGGGCGCGGCCAACUCUUAACCUGAAACUAAAUUCACAUUCAUUUAGAUGAUGCAAUAGUAUUUCAUUUAACAGCCUGGAGGGCAUGUUCUUUUGAGUUUCAUUACAAUCAUUCACAUGAUCAGCCAAGAAAACUAUAUAAUUCCAUGCGAGGAUGAUAUGAUCUGCUGCAGAAACCAUUUGGGAAGCUAAAUUGCAUGCAUGGAUGACUGCCCGUCAGAGGAUUGGCUACUUGGCGGUAGUACUAAUGCACACUAGACAUCUAUCGACAUAAGGAAUAAAAAUCAGAACCAUAUAUACAGAGUAAAAAAACACUCAAUUAUAUGUAUACCUUCUGUUCCACCCUGGUGCGUCUGAGUUCACCUUCCCGAUGGACUCGGCGGACUUGAGUUCGAGACUCCUUCCUCUUGCCGGCAGAUUUACUCUACUCAGCAGUGCCGCCGAGUUGUCCAAACACAACCGUGCACGAUGACUCGACGUGUGUCGGUGUGGAUGGCCCAACAACCAUCGAAGCGAAUGGAUCUGGCUGCUCAACAUCUGCACUGACCUCUUUGAACUGGAAUCUGCGGCAAAUUCAACAAAUCAAAGAGCAGUCACUGACCUUUUAUAAAAAUUCAAAAAAACAGUUUCCGAGAUGAUGCAGUUAUUUUUCAUACGAUAGUGAUACCGUGUUUUUUUUGGUUUCAUUUACAUAUGGAUAGCACGCUAUGCCCAUAGAACACUAAGUAUUCUAAUUUCGCGGAUGGUUGGCAACUUGGCAUGGUCUGACCGGGAGCAUUAUAUAUGCUAAUUGCAUGCAUGGUUUAUUACGAGAAUCAUAGGAUCAGCUUGUUGACAGUAGUACCCAUGCCCACUAGACACAGACUUUGGCAAAUAAAAAAUCAGAAUCAUGGAUCUAGAGAAAAAACACUCAUUGCUAUGUAUGCCUUCAGGCCUGGCCUGGUGCAUCUGGGUUCACCAUCCCGGUGGACUAGAUGGAUUGAGUUGGAGACUGCUUCCUUCUCUGGGCGGAAUUGCUCUGCUCAGCAGUGCCGCCGAGUUCUCCCACCAGAACCGCGCACGACGAGUCGGCUGUUGCCGGUGCCGAUGGCCCAACAGCCGUCAAAACUAAUGGAUCUGGCUGCCCAUCACCGGCAAUGACCUCUCUCAGCGGGAAUUAAAUGUUGAAAAUAUGAGCAAAUUACUACGAGAUUUAAUCCGAAUAAACAGAAGAUAAAUCAUGACCACAGCAGCAGAGAUUAAACUAAUCAUGCGAACUAGCAUAGCAAAUGAACAUAUCACAUCUAGGGCACAUACUAGAAGCAUGAAUUCUACCACGAUCUCGAACAGGAAGGAUAGAAUCACAUACGGUGCAGCGGGUGCAGCACCGCCGGCGUUGACGUUGUCGCCCAUGUCGUCGAGGACGAGGUUGCCGAGGUCGGGGAAGAAGUCGUCGUUCACGAAGUCGUCGCUGCCAGCAGUCGCGCGAGUGCGCUCCCCAAAAACCUGAUCGUCCCUCUCUCGUACAGGAUCACGAGAGGCGGGGUUCCGGAGGCCCGCUGUCCCUUCUCGCGGUGCACGCCGGAAGGAGGGAUGGAGAAGACUUGCUUGGCGGCGCAAUGAUCUGGAACGGUGGUGAGAAACCAUACGAAGCGGCGGCGGCUAGGGUAGACGUCUGCCUGACUAUAUAGUGCGGGCCGGGUAGGUCGCGGGAGUAAACCCCACGUCCGAGUCGUCACGAUCCAAAAGAAUCAGAAACGGUUCAGUAAUUAACGCGUCCGUUAAUUAUUAAUUAAUGACUCAUUAAUUUUCCCAUGCAACAAAAAUAUAACCCGCGUCGUGGCGUGGCGUGGCGUGGCGAGGCGAGCGAGGAGGAGGAGCGCGCGUGUAGGUCUUCUCUUCUCAUGCUCAUACAAGUGGUAGAAGAGCUCACCUUAUAAAGAGGUGCAACUCUCUCUCAACUUCCGGGGUGGGACUAAACUUUAGCCUCACUCAUUCCACUCAGAUGUGUGCAUGAAUGGGCCAAGAGAAUUUCAGAAUUUUAGUUGGGCUUUGGGCCAAAGGCCUACUAGCAAAAUUCCAACAAUCCCCCACAAAGUCUCAUUGGCACAUCUCAUCAUUUAGUUCCAAAACAUUGUUUUAUAUAUCGGUGCUUAGUGGAGACAGUGAAGUUGAACUUCCACUUAGAAAUUUAUGCUACACUAGAUCACAACUUGAAUAGUGGACUAUGCCUUGAACUACAAGUUUUCUGUGAAACUAGUUUCACAUAAAUUCUUGACCGAUACUGGGCUGCCGCAAGGCUUCCCCGCGGGUGAAGCGUAUACGUCAUACUCCAGGGCCUUUCAUGAAUUUAUUAGAGAACACCCAAUUCUCACAGACUGCGACGUUAACAGUCAAAUUCAUAUAGGUGUGUUCCUCAGAAGAUGUUCUGCAGGACAACAUCUCUGCUUACCCGAAUAAACCACUUGGAACACAUUAAGAUAAGUAUCAACCUGCCAUGCAGAUCAGGAGAGUAUUGCAUCUUCACGGAGUGGGAUAAUUAAUAUAGGGAUACUCUCCUUCCAGCUGACCAACAGCUUGUCUCCCACUUCUACUUCACGGGAUCUCCGAUCACAUAGAGUGGUUUAUCACUAUGGACAACUCAUGCGGUGGGUCUCAAACCCAUCUCCAUCGAUGCAUUAUCUAUCACAUUACGUGAUAGACCCUUUGUGAAGGAAUCUGCUAAGUUUUUCGAUGUUUGGAUAUAAUCCAACGUAAUAACUUCGGAGUUCCUCAAUUUUCUGACAGAUUUUAGUCUCCUCUUCACAUGCCUUGAGGACUUCAUAUUGUCCUUAGAACUGUUUAUCUUGACGAUCACAGUUUGAUUAUCACAGUUCAUCAGGAUAGGGGGUAUUGGUUUUUCAACCAUAGGUAAGUCCAUCAAGAGUUCACGAAGCCACUCUGCUUCAAUAGUGGCAGUGUCUAGUGCUGUGAGUUCUGCUUCCAUAGUUGACCUCAUUAAGAUUGUCUGCUUGCAAGACUUCCAGGAAACAGUGCCACCACCAAGUGAAAAAACAUAACCACUUGUGGCCUUAAUCUCAUCAGCAUCAGAUAUCCAGUUUGAGUCACUAUAACCCUCCAGUAUCCUUGGAUACCCGGUGUAGUGAAUCCCAUAGCUCGCGGUGCCUUUCAAAUAGCGCAUAACUCUCUCAAGCGCAUGCCAAUGAUCAUCUCCCGGUUUUGACACAAACCGACUCAGCUUGCUCACAGCAAAAGAGAUGUCAGGCCUCGUGGCACUCGCCAAAUACAUAAGCGAGCCAAUAAUCUGAGAAUACCUCAGUUGAUCUCUAGCAAUCCGUCGAUUCUUUCGAAGCAACACACUAGCAUCAUAUGGAGUUGGAGAAGGCGUGCAGUCGCUAUACCCAAAACGACUCAAGACCUUUUCCACAUAAUGAGACUGAAGCAGUGUGAUCCCACCAUUCUCAUCUCUCAACAACUUGAUGUUUAAGAUAACAUCAGCUACUCCUAGAUCCUUCAUCUCAAAACAGCAAGAUAAGAAAUCCUUAACCUCCUUGAUUAAAUCAAGUUUGGUUCCAAAGAUCAAUAUGUCGUCGACAUACAGACAAAGAAUAACUCCUUCGCCCCCACCAUAGCGAUAGUACACGCACUUGUCACCAUCGUUUACUACAAAGCCGACAGCAGUUAAUAUUCUUUUGAACUUCUCAUGCCACUCCUUAGGAGCUUGUUUAAGGUCAUAUAAAGACUUUAAUAACUUGCAUACCUUUCCUUCUUGACCAGGUACUACAAAACCAUCUGGCUGAUCCAUGUAAAUUUCCUCCUUUAACUCUCCAUUGAGGAAAGCCGUCUUAACGUCCAUUUGAUGAACGAGAAGACCAUGUGAGGCAGCCAGUGAUAGUAGCACCCGAAUUGUGGUCAGUCUAGCCACGGGUGAGUAAGUAUCAAAGAAGUCUUCACCUUCUUUCUGGGUAUAACCCUUGGCCACAAGCCGUGCCUUGUACUUUUUAAUCGUACCAUCAGGUCUAAACUUCUUCUUGAACACCCACUUACAUCCUACAGGUUUGCACCCAUAAGGACGGUCAGUGAUCUCCCAGGUACCGUUAGCUAAGAUGGAAUCCAUCUCGCUACGUACAGCUUCCUUCCAGUAGUCAGCAUCAGGAGAUGCAUAGGCUUCUGAAAUAGUCCUGGGUGUGUCAUCCACGAGGUACACAAUGAAAUCAUCACCAAAAGACUUUGCAGUCCUCUGUCUCUUACUCCUCAUAGGAGUUCUAUUGUUACCCUCAACAGGAUUCUCAACGUGUUCCAUCGCAAUGGUGGGUUCAGGAAUUACAGUGAAUUCCUCACUAGAUGGAGUAGGUAUCUCCUGAUUUGAUGAACUCGACAUAUCCUUCAUAGGAAAUAUGUCCUCAAAGAAAGUUGCAUCAUUUGAUUCCAUAAUCAUACCAACAUGCAUGUCGGAUACCUCAGAUUUUAUUAUCAAAAAUCUAUAGCCGAUGCUAUGAAAAGCAUAGCCCAGAAGAACACAAUCCAUGGUUUUUGGUCCAAGCUUGCACUUCUUGGAAAUUGGUAUAUUGACUUUCGCCAAACGACCCCAAGUACGUAGGUAAGAGAGUUUCAACCUUUUUCUUUCCCAUUCCUCAAAUGGAGUCAUGGUCUUAUGCUUUGUGGGAACUCGGUUUAGGACAUGACACGCAGUCAUUAGCACCUCCCCCCACCAUUCCUUGGAUAGACCCGAAGUGUCUAACAUGGUGUUAACCAUAUCAGUUAGAGUUCGGUUCUUUCUUUCGGCUACCCCAUUUGACUGGGGUGAGUAGGGAGGCGUCCUCUCAUGGAUUAUACCAUGUUCCGCACAAAACAGAUCAAAUUCAUUGGAAAAAUACUCUCCACCACGAUCGGACAUAAACCGUUUAAUUUUUCGAUCAAAUUGGUUCUCUGCCUUAGCUUUAUAGUUUUUAAAGAAAGUCAAAGCCUCAUCUUUUGAUUUCAGAAGAUACACAUAACAAUAUCUAGUGAAGUCAUCAAUCAACGUCAUGAAGUAUCUCUUUCCACCUUUUGUCAACACGCCAUUCAUCUCACAAAGAUCAGAAUGUAUAAGCUCAAGUGGUGCCAAGUCUCUUGCCUCUGCAGUCUUAUGGGACUUGCGAGGUUGCUUAGCUUGCACACAUACUUGGCACUUGGAGCCUUUGACAGUAGAGAUUUUCGGAAUUAAAUUCAUACUGGCUAACCGCGUCAUGCAACCAAAGUUAAUAUGACAGAGUCGUGAAUGCCAAAUAUCAGACUCAUUAUUGUGGCAAACAUUAUUAAUAACUUUAGUGCAAAUAUCUGACAAAGAUAGGCGGAACAAGCCUCCUCACUCAUAGCCUUUUCCAACAAAUUGUCCACACUUAGAGAUUACAACUUUAUUGGAUUCGAAAACCAACUUAAAACCAUCUCGACAUAAACGGGAACCGCUAACGAGAUUUUUAUUGAUGGACGACACAUGAUGAACGUUCUUCAGACGCACAGUCUUCCCCGAAGUAAACUUCAGAUCGACCGUACCAACACCUCGAACGAUGGCAUGUGACCCGUUCCCCAUCAGCACGAGUGAAGUCCCUGUUGCCUGGUAAGAAGAAAACAUGGAGGCGUCAGCACAAACAUGUACAUUGGCACCGGUGUCAAUUAACCAAUCAGGGGAUUGAAAUACUGAAAGGAUGGUAGGAAAAAUACCGUACCCUGAUUCUUUCAUAUCAGUAUCACCGAUGACAACAUUAGCAGACUUGCCGCUCUUCUCAUGUUCGCGCUCCUCAAAGCGGUUAGGACACUUCGGAGCCCAGUGAUUAGGAUCACCGCAGACAUGGCAAAGUCCCUUCCCCUUCUUAUGAGAAUUCUUCUUGAAGUUGGUAGAAUGUGAUGGCUUGUUCUUUGUAUCAAACUUGCCUUUGCCCUGAGUUUUGUUCUUAUUGUUUUUGAACUUGUUGGGCUGGGAGUUCUUCUUCUGUACCAUGUGGGCACUAGAACCUCCCUCAGCAACUCGAGCACGUGUGUCAUUUGCUCUCGCCUUCUCUUCAACAUCAAGAGUACCAAUGAGAUCUGCAACGAAAAACUCCUGUCUCUUGUGUUUCAGGGAAGUAGCAAAAUUGUUCCACGAAGGUGGAAGCUUGGCAAUGAUGCCUCCGGCAACAAAUUUGUCCGGCAACACACACUUGAAGUACUCAAGUUCUUUUGCGAGCGACUGUAUCUCAUGAGCCUGCUGUACAACAGGGCGCUCAUCAGUCAUCUUGUAGUCAUAGAAUUGCUCCAUGACGUACAACUCGCUGCCGGCGUCCGAGGCACCAAACUUGGCCUCGAGCGCAGCCCACAUGUCCUUGCCGUUGUCAAACUACAUAUACGAAUCCAUAAUGGAGUCAUCAAGAACAGUCAGAAGAGCGCCUUUAAAGAGCGUAUCGAUCUUCUCAAAAGCUUCCAGCUGUGCUGGAUUAAGAUCGCCCUCAGGCUUGCCCUUGGUGGCAUCAUAGCAGCCCAUGGUCUGAAACCAGUAGACUACUCUCGUGCGCCACCUCUUAUAUUGCGCCCCCUUAAAGGCAGGCGGCUUCAGAUGCGCAGUAAAACCACUCGGAGUAAAUUGCCUAUAAUUAGGUUUUUGGAUUGUUGGAAAUAUGAGAAAAUUACUACGAGAUUUAAUCCGAAUAAACAGAAGAUAAAUCAUGACCACAGCAGCAGAGAUUAAACUAAUCAUGCGAACUAGUAUAGCAGAUGAACAUAUCACAUCUAGGGCACAUACUAGAAGCAUGAAUUCUACCACGAUCUCGAACAGGAAGGAUAGAAUCACAUACGGUGCAGCGGGUGCAGCACCGCCGGCGUUGACGUUGUCGCCCAUGUCGUCGAGGACGAGGUUGCCGAGGUCGGGGAAGAAGUCGUCGUUCACGAAGUCGUCGCUGCCAGCAGUCGCGCGAGUGCGCUCCCCAAAAACCUGAUCGCCCCUCUCCCGUACAGGAUCACGAGAGGCGGGGUUCCGGAGGCAUGCUGUCCCUUCUCGCGGUGCACGCCGGAAGGAGGGAUGGAGAAGACUUGCUUGGCGGCGCAAUGAUCUGGAACGGUGGUGAGAAACCAUACGAAGCGGCGGCGGCUAGGGUAGACGUCUGCCUGACUAUAUAGUGCGGGCCGGGUAGGUCGUGGGAGUAAGCCCCACGUCCGAGUCGUCACGAUCCAAAAGAACCGGAGACGGUUUAGUAAUUAACGCGUCCGUUAAUUAUUAAUUAAUGACUCAUUAAUUUUCCCAUGCAGCAAAAAUAUAGACAACGUGCGCGUCGCGUCGCGUCGCGUCGAGGCGUGGCGUGGCGAGGCGAGCGAGGAGGAGGAGCGCGCGUGUAGGUCUCCUCUUCUCAUGCUCAUACAAGUGGUAAAAGAGCUCACCUUAUAAAGAGGUGCAACUCUCUCUCAACUUCCGGGGUGGGACUAAAUUUUAGCCUCACUCACUUCACUCACAUGUGUGCAUGAAUGGGCCAAGAGAAUUUCAGAAUUUUAGUUAGGCUUUGGGCCAAAGGCCUACUAGCAAAAUUCCAACAUUAAAGAAAUCGAAUACGAGUCAAACAUAUAUUUGUGCUUGGGUGUGUCCGGAUCGAAUUGAAGAAAUUUAUACAGUUCAGACAUUACCUAUCUACCGGAUCUAGCAGAAAUUCGAGCCCGUUGUGGCGUAGGCCUGCAAACUCCGCCAUACCAUUCGCCGCCACCAUUGUUUCGCCUUCCGCCGUCAAGAUAGGGAGGUUGGGGGGAAAAGAAUUCUAUGAGACCAGGUCUCACGCGAGACCCAUCCUGAUGAAUGCCACGUGUCAUUUAUCAGGACAGGUCUCACCUGCUAACUAUGAGACCUAGUCUCAUGUAUAAUUUUUUUUCCGAGGUUGGGGGGAAGGGGAGAAAGGCUUCCCCACACUUCGUCCACCGGUCAACAUUGCGUUGUGUAUGCAGUUGACGAUGAACAUAGUAUUCUGAUCCCACGCACAACUUUUUGUGACGGAGGCGAGCCACGGCUCGGCUUGUCACCGUAGCCCGCUGGACCAGAUCCCUAGACAUGUACCUACGACCCAGAUAACAUAUUCAGAUGCCACUGCUCUCAGUAACGCCGCUCUCAAUAAAGCAUUCUUAUUUUCUCCAUGUGUUGUUCCUGUGUAUUAUUGCUUAGAUCCAAGGCAUAUGCUCCCAUAUCC
rnacentral:lncRNA from 1 species